ensembl:lncRNA LINC00662 long intergenic non-protein coding RNA 662
GUCCACUGCGGUUCCGCCGUGCCAAGGGGAGCUUGGCUGUUCACGGGCCUCACCUGCUAGCGAGAAGAUAGCUUGGCCGGGCGGCUGAUCUCACCUUGUAAUUCUGACACUGUGUCUCCCGGGCUUGUCGGCUUCAUGACUUGUGCCCAAAGUUUGAUUUCUCGCAGACCAGGAGGACCCAUUGGACCCCCGGGCUGGCUGCAGGGCCCACACCUGGGUUAGACCUCGCACAGGGACGCUGCUGCCACUGUAAUAAAGCGUGCCUACACGCUUCUGAAACUGGUGUAGGAACAACCUCAGUUCUGUGAAAGGCGGACGCAGCAGGACAGAAUCUCCGUGGACAUCUGUCUGGAGGAGCAAUUUUACUGCGACAUUUUAAAGAAACAAAUUUAAUUGAUUUCCAAGGGUGUCCAUCGCGCUUCCUUCACUGCCUUGAUCAUGUCGGGGUCACCACCUGCGGGGGUUUGUCCUGCAGACCCUGACUCAACGACGGAUGAAUAAUGUACACUGACACAGAUCUUAUGCUUGUCAGUCCUGCUGAGCAUCCAGGCCACUUACAGACUCCAAGAAGAGUCCUGUCAGCCACGGCUCUGACUUGUUGGCCCUCCCGGCAUUUAUUUAGCACACAUUUAAUGACAGAAGUCUCAGGCUGGAAACACUCUUUUUGUAGAACAUACAAAUGGACAUUUCUAAGCACAUUGAGGCCUAUAAUGAAAAAUCAAAUAUCCCACAAUGAAAACUAGAAGGAAGCUAUCUGUGAUAAUGCUUUGUGGUGUAUGGAUUCAUCUCACUGACUGAAACCUGAGUUUUGAUUCACCAGAAUCUAUGCAGGGACAUUUUUGUGCUCAUUGAGGCCUACUGUGAAAAACCAAACAUCAGGGGUGGAGCCAAAAAAGCCAAAUAGGAACAGCUCCAGUCUACAGCUCCCAGCAUGAGCCACACAGAAGAUGGAUGAUUUCUGCAUUUCCAACUGAGGUUGAAAACACUCUAUAUAGAAUCUACAAAGAGACAUUUCUGAGUCUAUUGAGGCCUAUAGUGAAAAUUCAAAUAUUUAAACUAAAAACAAGUUAUCAAUUAAAACGCUUUGUGAUGUGUGGAUUCAUCACACAGAGUUAAACCUUGGUUUUGAUUAAGCAAGUUGGAAACAUUCUUUUUUAGAAUCUAGAAGAGACAUUACUGAGUGCAUGAAGGCCUAUAGUGAAGAUCUGAAUAUCCCACGAUAAAAAGUAGAAACAAGUUAUCUGCGAAUAUGUUUUGUGAUGUGUGGAUUUAUCCCACUGAAUGAAACCUGCGUUUUGAUUCAAGUUGGAUAGACUCUUUUUGUAGGAUCAAUGAAGAGUCAUUUCUGAGCCCAUUGAGGCUUACUGUGAAAACUCGAAUAUUGCACUAUAGAAACUAGAAACAAGCUUUCUGUGAAAAUACUUUGAAAGCUGUGAAUUUGUCUCACCGAAUCAAACCUGUGUUUUGGUUCAACAAGUUGGAAACACUCUUAUUGUAGAAUCUACAAAGGGAUAUUUAUGAGACCAUUGAGGCCUAUAGUGAAAAAUGAAAUAUCCCAUUAUAAAACUAGAAACAAGCUAUCUGAGAAAAUGCUUUUUAACAUCUGGAUUUGUCUCACUGAGUUAAAGCCUUGUUCUAAUUCGUUAGACUGAAAUCACUUUUUUGUAAAAUCUACAAAGGAACAUUUCUAAGCUUAUUGAGGGCUAUAGUGAAAAAAUGAAUAUUCCACGAAAAGAACUAGGAACAAGCUAUCUGUGAAAUGCUUUGCGAUGCAUGGUUUUAUCUCACAGAGUUAAAUCUUUGUUUUGACUUAACAGGUUGGAAAUCCUUUCUUUGUAGAAUCUACAAAGGGAUGUUUCCGAGACCAUUGAGGCCUGUAGUAAAAAAUCAAAUAUCUCAUGAUAUAAACUAAAAAGAAUCUAUCAAUGAAAAUGCAUUGCAAGG